GCAUGBYCUUCUGGGAAAGCUUUYGCGGUAUGGGAUGGGGUCGCGUCCUAUCAGCUUGAYGGCGGGGUAACGGCCCACCAUGGCUUCGACGGGUAGCCGGCCUGAGAGGGCGACCGGCCACAUUSGGASUGAGAUACGGCCCAGACUCCUACGGGAGGCAGCAGUGGGGAAUAUUGCACAAUGGGCGCAAGCCUGAUGCAGCGACGCCGCUUGCGGGAUGACGGCCUUCGGGUUGUAAACCGCUUUUGACUGGGAGCAAGCCCUUCGGGGUGAGUGUACCUUUCGAAUAAGCACCGGCUAACUACGUGCCAGCAGCCGCGGUAAUACGUAGGGUGCAAGCGUUAUCCGGAAUUAUUGGGCGUAAAGGGCUCGUAGGCGGUUCGUCGCGUCCGGUGUGAAAGUCCAUCGCUUAACGGUGGAUCCGCGCCGGGUACGG
rnacentral:rRNA from 1 species